GAUGAACGCUGGCGGCGUGCCUAAUACAUGCAAGUCGAGCGAACGGACGAGAAGCUUGCUUUUCUGAUGUUAGCGGCGGACGGGUGAGUAGCACGUGGAUAACCUACCUAUAAGACUGGGAUAACUUCGGGAAACCGGAGCUAAUACCGGAUAAUAUUUUGAACCGCAUGGUUCAAAAGUGAAAGACGGUCUUGCUGUCACUUAUAGAUGGAUCCGCGCUGCAUUAGCUAGUUGGUAAGGUAACGGCUUACCAAGGCAACGAUGCAUAGCCGACCUGAGAGGGUGAUCGGCCACACGGGAACUGAGACACGGUCCAGACGCCUACGGGAGGCAGCAGUAGGGAAUCUUCCGCAAUGGGCGAAAGCAUGACGGAGCAACGCCGCGUGAGUGAUGAAGGUCUUCGGAUCGUAAAACUCUGUUAUUAGGGAAGAACAUAUGUGUAAGUAACUGUGCACAUCUUGACGGUACCUAAUCAGAAAGCCACGGCUAACUACGUG
rnacentral:rRNA from 1 species